GUCUUUUGAGUAUGAAUCAGUACAUUUGCCUUCCAAGCAGAAAGUUUAAAUAAUUUUAAAAAAGAUA
rnacentral:tRNA from 1 species